rnacentral:sRNA from 1 species
GGUCCAGGGAAAAGUUGGUCUCUGCAGAUGACUGUAAAUGACUACCUGGAGGUCGAUUAAAGUGCGGUACUGCGGGAUUCAGCCGAUUUCCUUCUUCCUCUGACUGUCCGGAAAUAUCAGCCAAAGGCCAGCGUUCUAAGGACAUAUGGAAUUGGCUAUGGAUAAUUCAUAUGCUUUCAAUCAACGAAGCACCUGUAAUGGAAUUCCAUCUGAGAAGAAAAACAAUUUCCUUGUAUCAGAAGAUCAUGGACAAAAAAUCUUAAGUGUACUACAGAAUUUUAGAGAACAAAAUGUCUUUUAUGAUUUCAAAAUAAUUAUGAAAGAUGAAAUAAUCCCGUGUCAUCGUUGUGUGUUAGCAGCAUGCAGUGACUUUUUCAGGUACUUUACCUUGUCUAUGCCUCAGAUUUUAUGAUUUGGAUAAUUAAGUUCUAUUUUAUACUGCACUCAAGUUUUCCCCCACAAGAACAUGCAACAGUAAUUUUUAAUUCUAAAAAAAAACAAAAAACAAU